rnacentral:rRNA from 1 species
AAUCAACGCUGGCGGCGUGCCUCAGACGUGCAAGUCGAACGAUUAAAGCUCUCUUCGGAGAGUGUAUAGAGUGGCGCACGGGUGAGUAACACGUAAGUAAUCUACCUUCGAGUGGGGAAUAACAUCGGGAAACCGAUGCUAAUACCGCAUAAUGCAGCGGCAUCGCAAGAUGACAGUUGUUAAAGGAAUUUAUUUCGCUUGAAGAGGAGCUUGCGGCAGAUUAGCUAGUUGGUAAGGUAAUGGCUUACCAAGGCUACGAUCUGUAACCGGUCUAAGAGGACGGUCGGUCACACUGACACUGAAUAACGGGUCAGACUCCUACGGGAGGCAGCAGUCGGGAAUUUUGGGCAAUGGGCGAAAGCCUGACGCAGCGACGCCGCGUGAGGGAUGACGGCC